rnacentral:rRNA from 1 species
UACGAAGGGGGCUAGCGUUGCUCGGAAUCACUGGGCGUAAAGCGCACGUAGGCGGCUUUCUAAGUCAGGGGUGAAAUCCUGGAGCUUAACUCCAGAACUGCCUUUGAUACUGGGGAGCUCGAGUCCGGAAGAGGUGAGUGGAACUCCGAGUGUAGAGGUGAAAUUCGUAGAUAUUCGGAAGAACACCAGUGGCGAAGGCGGCUCACUGGCCCGGUACUGACGCUGAGGUGCGAAAGCGUGGGGAGCAAACAGG